rnacentral:lncRNA from 1 species
UGCUAUAUUAUGUUCUAUCUCUAUGUUAUAGAAUAAUAUAUUCUGUUAAAAUUAAAUAAUAAUUUGUUUUUUAUAAAACCGGAAUAAUAUAAUGCAAAUGGACAAAUGGUAUUGAAAAAUGGUUUUUGAUGGAAUGAUAUGGAAUUCGAGAUUUUUUUAUUUGAGCAAUAAAACUGCUAAUCUAAACACUAACACAGAGUGAUCGAGUGAUACGUUUUCAAUACCAAAAAUCUCAACGGCGAGAACAGAGAUGCCGUUAUCUAUUCAAAUUACACAGUAUGUACAGAGUUUCUUCUGCAUUUGAUAUGUGACAAACACAUUACACAAUUGCUCGCAGUUGAAGAAGAAAGCAGGCUUCUGCACUCUCCACCAGCAUUAUUGGCCAUUUCAUUUGGCCCAGUUAUAGGUACAACAGCAAGAUGGUUAGCUGAUUUAAUGCCGUAUCACAUGUCGCUUUCUGCGAUGAAGUCUCUUGACAAAUAGUAAUUAUUAAGGUCAGGUCCAUUUUCAUGUGUACAAAAGUCGCACCUUCACUCCAAACUCACUGUUCACUUUCUUUUACGCAAGCUCAUUUCUUUUACCCGAUGGUUUUUGUUAUAGAAUCAUCAUAUUUGUUCUUCAAUAUUGUCCACAGAUACAUGAAUAAAGUUACUCAACCGAUAUAAAUAGCAAAGAGUAAUACUAAAGAUCCAAAAAGAAUCUUGAUACCAAAGUGAAUUGAUUUAAUUCGCGAUAUUUCUCUCUAGUAUAUUCAACAAGACCAAGGUGGUGAAACCUAACUUCUAAAUUUAUAAAUUAGAAGCACUUGUUGGCACCGUUUGUGUAAAAAAUCAAGAAUUACUCAUAAAAAGCAGAGAAUCCUAACUUGUGUUUCAUAACUUCUACUUCUUUCUCAAACACUUUAAUCACUUAUAAGUCUUAAUUUGCUUUAACCUUUUAUUCAACUUUUUUAAUUUAAGGAAAAAACACUUAUUUUAAGUUUAGCCAGACGGUGCCCAGAAUUAUUUGUGUUUUGUUGGAAAAUAUUCAAGCUUACUUUAAUUUUCACAAUUCCUAAAUAAAUACUUCAUUCGCAUCUCUCAUUUUUCUACAAUUUUUUGUUUGACACACAUUUUAAGAUGUAUAAAGUAUGAUUUCAUGAUUUACUUUUAAAAUCUUCUUUUUUAUACAAAUAUCUAAACAUUAAGUUUCUAUUAAAAAAUUUUAAAAUAACUCAUGAAACUACAUUUUAUCAAAAUUUAAAAUGUGUAACAACAUAUGCAGACAGCCGGAAUAUAUGUGGUAGACAUGGUGAAAACCCCAAGGAGGAUGCAAGAUAUUUUCAAUAUUCACAACCACCGAACAGGGAAUCAGGCCUGUACUCGGGGGUCGUUGCUCAUUGGUCCACCGGGUAGUAGAAAAUAUGCAGACAAAUAAUAUUGCUUGUCGUCUUCAAUCAUAUUCACACCAAUCUUGUGAUGAUAUUUACUCCCAACAGCUGGUUCCAAACAUUCUGAUUCCACUCAUUAUUGUACUUUCUACACUAGUGCUUUUUCAAUCACACCCAGACACGCUCCCUCUAAAGUUCCAUCCAGACCCCUCCUUUCUAUUCCAACAUAGUUUUAAACAUCAAUUGUCGUUCCAGAUUUCAUGAUUGAGAGUUAUCUCAUCAGAGUUCCCUAUGUUGCCUUUGCAAACUAAGGGAUGUGAUGUUGAGUUUGUGAUUAAAUCAUCAACACAGUCAACUAGACCUCACUCGGUCAUUACAUGUUAGUGUUUGGAUUAGCUGUUUUAUUACUCAAAUAAACAAUCUCAACACAGUCAAGUAGACAUCCAUCGAUCAUUACUUGUUAGUGUUUGAAUGUUUGGAUUAGCAAUUUUAUUACUCAAAUAAAGAAUCUCAACACAGUCAACUAGACCUCACUCGGUCAUUACAUGUUAGCGUUUGGAUUAGUAGUUUUAUUGCUAAAAUAAAGAAUCUCGAAUUCCAUAUCAUUCUCAUUUGCAUGCCCUCUAUUCGACUCACAAUCCCAAGGCCACCCUGACCAUCUCAUCAAACACAGACUUGCUUGACUCUAUUUGUAAAGGUUGUUGGAUUACACUUGCCAUGGAAUAAAAUUAAACAGAGAACUGAAUUCAACUCAAAGAAACUCAAAUACAUUUCAAAAUAAAAAUUCACUCAAGCAAGCAAUGUACAAUAUUAAAUUACACUUGGAAGUAGUUUUUAAAAGAUACUACUACAUUACUCAGCAAACCCAGUUUAGCUGAGGGAAGAAAUGGAAAGGAACAAGCAAAUAAAAGAAAGGCCAAUAUUCAUCAGGCCAAUACCAAGCAAUGUUAUUAAGAAAAAGCAUAUCAGUGACAUGAAAGUGGAUUUUUUUUCUGCCCUUGAAAAAAUUGAUGGGCUAAAGCAAGCAUUUACGAAGAUGGAAUAGAACAAGGAACGUCGUCUGGAAGGCUACUGCCGCCAGCCUUAUUGCCGGCUCUUGGGCUGCUUCCAGCACUGCUAUUUGAGACAGAGACAAAGGUUGUCUUUUGCAAGACCCCUGUUGGGGAUGAUCCCAACUGAGAGUGGCCAUCCCACACUUCACUAUUCCUGAGAUUAAGCAUCAGCGAGCUCCUGCUGGCUUCCACUGAGUUGGAGGUGCUAUUAAGCGCCUCUCCUAGAGGACCUCCCAUUGAAUUUUCCCAAGUAACCGGAUUCCAGCUUGUUUGCUUCUCAGAUGGGUCAUUUCUCAAAGCUAAACUCAUAUUGACAUUGUCAAGUUCACAAGGUAAGCUUAGAGGCGCAAGGGAGAAUUUCUCACGUGGAGAAUUUGAGCACGACGAGAAGGUAGAGGAAUUCUUAGGAAUCGACAUUGAGAGCUGAGUCCAGUCUGACUUAAAUUCAUCAGGCCAAACGACAUUGAGAUGAUCAGACGGAUUCUUAGGCCAGUCAUCGAUGAAACGAUGAAGAGGUUGUUGGUUUUGUGUUUCUUGUUCACUGAAACUCAGGAUUGCAUCACGAUUUCUAGGAUCAUUGUAGGAAUCCUUAUCUGAAGAAUAGAGAAGAGAGGUUGACGAGACAAGGCCAAACUCUUGCAGAGAAGACUCUUCUGUCCGGACAUGAUGUUGUCGGAUGGAUGGUACAGUAUCCUUCAACUUCAAAUCCACGGUGGGAGAUAUUAUGGACUGACCUUGCGUAUCUUGAACUCUGUCACGUGAUAUAAUCUACUUUUAGAUUUAUAAGCACGACAUAUAUAUGCAUGUAUAUAGACAUAUAUCCAAAAUGAGAGCAUUUACUUGACGUGGGAAAAGGAGGAAAAGGCAAAUGGAGAGUGUAGGGACCCGAAAGAUAUAUGUGAAAAUAAUGGAAAAUACUCAUGUUUCCUACAGUAAGGCCAAAAAAAUUGUAACAGAACCAAUAAUGAAAGCCUCAUAGAGAAGGAAUCUCAAAGUUUAAUACUCAAGACUGGUCACUUUCACCAAAAAAAGAAAGAUGAUAUAAGGGGUCUACUCCACCAUCCAAGAUUUAAAAUUGGGGUCUACUUGUAGUAAAAAGAAGAAUGCAGAUAAUUUACACACUGUCAUCUUAAUGCUAGAAUUUUCAUAUAAAAAGAUAUUGACAAUUGAUGAGUAGAAAACAAGCAGGGUACCUAUAUACAAGUAAAAUGAACCAAUCAAUUUGAUAAUCACCUGUUAAGGGCAUUAGCAUAAGCAUUUGCAGCAGUGGACUGCAAAAUUUUGGAUUGUUGUUGCGGCAAACUCAGGCUUUUAGAUGUGCCAGGGCCUGACAUUACGGUUUCUGAUGGGGUUGAAUCGACCGCCACUUCUGUUAUAUGAGUGGUUCCAGGAACAACUUGGCCUUUUCGGCUUUCCACAGGCUUUCUUGAACGAUGACGGCCUCUAUUUAUAUGCCGCUCACAGUACUUCUGAUCUGGAACAGCUUCUCUUGCACACCGCCAUUUCUUUCCAUCUGUUCGACGACAUCUACCAGGCUCAGGAUCAUUGCUGCCAGAUAAACCUAGAUGGAAAGUUCCCCAUCCGACUGCAUGUCCAAAAUUUGUAAAGACGGGACAGAGAUAUAUUAGGGAUUAACAUUACUACCGUAUCAAAGAAGUUCAGGGAAUAAAUGAAUAAAUCAGUAUCAAGCUUAAUACUGAUUUCCAAUUCAUUAAUAUAUUAAGUUGAUUUCCAUAUGUCGUGAACACUAGGCACUUAAGAGAAUCUAUCAUAUGCUUGCAAGCUCAUAACUCUUGGAGAUAAGUUAACCAGAUUAUAGAAAGGUCGAGGCGUGGUAAGUGAACUAUAUUUAUAUAACAAAUGCUAGAGAAGUCCUGUAAGUGCACAGUAGAGAUACCAUCACCAAAUUAAGAACACGUAAAUGCUCCGCUGUCUAAACACUAAAUGACAUAUUAACACAUAUAAAAAAAAAAAAAAGCACAGUCAUUUAUUAGCUGCCGAAGUGCCUAUAUACAAGGAAGUAAGGAGUUUUUUCUUUAAUAGAAGAGAUGUUCAACUAAAAAAUAUUCUUGGUAUCUGUGCUUACAUGAUUUAGGAGCAUAUGAUCCCGUAAAAGAACCAGCAUAGAGAAAUGGGUUGAGAGAUUUCCGAAUUUGAAAUAGCAAAUGUGACGGAACAGGCACGUUUGCUACGAUGUAUUUGUAUAUUAAAGCCUGGAGUUCAAGAUCUAGCCACUGAGAUGGGGUAAAUGGCUCUCUGCACCUAGUAAAAGGACUAUCCAUUCCACCAGUGGACCCUCCACAACCAUACCCUGGAAGAAAUUAGUAGACAAGUUCAAGAUCACAUUCGAAAAGAUAAGAAAGAAACUCUAAGCAAGGCAUAUGAUACUCCUCAUAUAACAUCCCCUCUCUGUCCUUGUAUGGAAACAUGACUCUGGCUUAUUUCAAUUUCGUGAUUGACACAAAUUUCCAAUCUGGACCAAAGAUUUGAACCAUAAACACGAAUAAGGUCCCAAAACUCACAAGAACAAGAAGUGUUUAAGGAGCAGCAACCGAGAGCUAUUAAGCCUAUGAUGUACUAAUAAAAUCAACUUUGUGACAUAAAGAUCAGAAAUAAAACAGAAGACAAAAACAAUAGUACCAGAUUAAAACAGCAAUAUAUCACAAAUCAAUAGUCCCCUCCCCUUCCUAGUCCUAGUCAAAUUUACAAUAUCAAGCCUUUCAUUCAUAAUCCAUCAUUAUAGUCACUUGGGUCAAAUCAAGAACCAAAAAGAUCCACUCUUUGCAAACAACAAGACACAAACACAUGAACAUAGCAACCAAUACAAGAAAAUAAACCCACACACACACACACACACACACACACAUGUGUGUACCUUGUCUUGAAAAAUCUUGAUAAGCAGCAGCAUUUGAAGCUGGGACUGGGCUAGUGAAAGAGAUGCUAAAUGAAGCUGGGGAGGAGUCAUUAGCAAGCAAAGAAUGAGUAGAUCUCUGCAACACAGAUCGAGAAGAUGAGGCAUUAUCAUCUCCAAAGCCAUUGAAGCUCAUAAGCCCAAGAUCCAUUAGUUAUAUCUACACACCAAGUGGUUUUUACACAGCAUUAGCUCAUACACAACAUUCUUACAAGAGUGAUCUGUAUUUUUUUGUUGUCUGAAAUAAAAGUGUGUGUGUUUUUGUUUGAAGUGAAAGGAACUAAAGAGGGGUGUUGAAGUUUGGGAGAAGUUGAAGAUGGUUUAUAAAGCAUCGAGGUUUGUGUAAGAAAAUGUAAAAAAUGUGGACAUGUUUUAAUAUAAUUGUAGAGAGAGAAGAAGAGGUGUGCGUGUGACGGUGUGAGAGAUGGAGACCGGAUGCGAGGGGCAUACAUAAAUCUAAACUUAAGAAGGUCAUCGGUUAUAAUUGUUGGUUAAAUUAAACCUGCAAAAUAUUAUGUAAAAUUUGUUGAAUUUUUAAGAUAUUUUGCUUCAAUGGUAUUGGUUAUUUUAAUUGAUUAUAAUUUAAAAAUAAUACUCCUUCCGUUUCAAAUUAGAUGUCCAAUUUUAAAAAAUCACACAGUUUAAGAAAAGUGAAUAUCUACAAAUUAAUUGCAUUAAAUGAGAAUAAUAUGUGAAGUAAAAUUGAUAUAGAAAAUAUAAAUGAGAGAUAUGUGGAGUAGAAUUGACUUUGGAAAUAUAAUUUUGCAUUGAAAGUUGAUAUGGACAAGUAAUUUGAAACAAAUUUUUUUUGUAAAAGUGGACAUGUAAAUUGAAACGGAGGGAGUAUGUUAUUAAUAUUUAAAUUGUUAUAAAUAGAAUAUAUUAGUUUAAUAUGAUAAUAAAUAAUUUGUAAUCAGAGAGAAGUAGGAAAAUAAAUUGUUGGAGAUUACAUGAAAUUCACUACAUAUCUGUAGUGUUUCGACAAAUAUAGUCAUCCAUAAAAGAUGGUUAUAAUCAUAGACAAUAGAUGACUGUGGUUGAAGUGAUAUUUUUUCACGCGAUUGACUAUAUUUUUUAAUUUUAAUAUGCGAACUAGACUUUUAGUUAAAAAUUUCUUAUGAUUGGAAAUGUUCUUAACCCGACCAAUUUGGAAUUAUAAAAGGGUGGGUGCUCUUUUUACAUUUGUAAAGAAAAGAUCAAAUUAACAUUGUAUCUCAAUAAAAUAUUUUUUCUAAUUUAUAAACAAUAAGUACUUUAACUAAGACAGACAGACCUCCGACAAAAAAAGACCUAAGACAAACCACUUAUAAAAACAAUAUUUCUUAUAAUCAAAUUACUAAGCAAUAAAUUGUCUAAUCUUGAGGAUUUUAUAAUUCCUGUCUUUAUUCACCGUUUGCCUUUUUUUUUUUUCUUCUGUACAGACUAAUAAUGUAUUUAUUUCAAGAUGUUCUUCUAUUUAGCAUCACUCGUAGAAUCAAACUAUUUUUGUUAAGGAGCACGGUUGGAUAGCUCAGUGGUAAAGAGUUUAUCCUCUGUCGUCCCAGGUCCUGGGUUCGACCCUGGCUCACCCCGAGAGUUUCGUAGAACAGAUACUCAUUUGUAAGGCUAUAAGCCAAAUUUGUCCAAAAAAAAAAAAAAAACUAUUUUUCUUAAGCAACUUACACGUCCUGUAACUCUGUAAGACAGUGGCGGAACUAGGACGAAAAGUUAGGGGGCUGAAAUAUUUCGGCUUCCAUACUUGCAUAAAUAGCUUUCUCAAUACAUAUCAUCAUACUAUCAUUCGGUCAUGCAUCUUUCAUCUUAUUACGCAUCUUAUUACGCUGAUAAGUCUUGAUUGUUUAAUAACAGAAAAAACUCUCUCAACAGUAGCGAUUACAACGGGUAAAACCAGAGCUAACUCAACCAGAAGAUAAACCAAAGAAUAAGCCGUGUGUUUGUGUGUCUUAACCAUCAUGACAGAAAGAUUUCCUAUACUUUGAAGUCCAAAUUUAUCUUUAUCCGCUCUCACAUCAUAUAUAAAAUUGUCUAACUGAUUUGACAACAACUCCAAGUCCAGUAAAGAAAAAUCUUUUGGAUAAAAUUGUGCAAAGCAGACCGGAUUAAUAUUUAUAAUAUUCUGAGUUCAAUGUUGUAAAGCUUAUGAUAAAUCAUUAGUGCCUUCUCUUUUCCUUUUUUGCAAUAAGUCCCUCUCUAUGAUAUUUAUAAUUCAGCGAGGGCUAAAAAAAAUUAUACUGAUAUCAUUCGAGGUUAGGAGGGGCUCUAGCAUCCCCUAGCCCCCCUCUGGUUCCGCCACUGGUGUAAGAUAUAUUUAUCUGACCUUAAUACAUUCAAACACUAGCACAUUUUAUGAUGCACCUGUAACAUAUCCUAUUAAGAUAUUUUUUUCUUUUUUUGAUUCAAAGAAUAAGUAUUUUCAGAUUAUCUCGUCGAACGAUUUGACAAACGUUUUCAUGAAUACAUGAAUUUAAAAAUCAUGAAUGGGAAAGCAUCAAGUACACAUUACUCUUAUAACAUUUCUCUUUAGUCUCCAACUUCAAAUGGCAGAAGUAGUAAUGGUGAACGUCAACCCAAGGUGGACCAUGCCCAGGAGGGGUUUUGUAAAGAUUAAUGUUCAUGGUGCUCGUUUGCAAACCCUCUCCCUAAUGGCAAUGUUACCGGCAUUGGAGUGGUUGUUCGCAAUGGUAGGGGAAGGAUACUUUGCAUGCUUUCUGGCUCGCUUGAGAUUCAAAAUCCCAGAGUUAACGAGUUCCAGGCACUGCUAGAAGGGUGCAAAUGUGCUUUUGUUGAGGAUUGGAAGUAUAUUGUUCUCGAGUCUGAUCACCAAGAUGCUACCUGGGAAUGGAAUAACUCGACUAUUGAAGGUGCGCUCCCAGAACAUGCUGAGCUUGUGCAGCAACUGAAUCAGAGGAGGGCUGAUAGGAAUUUUCACAUGGAGGUGAGGCUUUGCGAGCAAAAUGCUAAUGCUCUCGCAGCAUACCUGGCUGAUUAUGGUGCUCGCAAUUUCAAAGUCAUGGUGAUCAUGGCGCAGCCUUUUGGAAGGAUUUUCGAACUAUGGAACCAGGACAUGGGAUUAGGUUCUGCUGAUCAGAGAUUUGUGGCAGUGCAUGAGGCUGAGUUGGGUCCAGCAGUGGAUAACGGAGAAGAUGUUCAGGAUCCAGAGGUGGAAGAUGUCCAGGCCGUGCAAGAGAUGAAUGUGAUGAAUGAGGCUGGUGGAAUGGUCGAAGUCAUUGAGCUGGAUGACUGAUUAUUUCUUCCUGCAUGUCCAGUUGCAGAAGCUUUCAGGAGUAUAGUAUUGGUUCUAUAUAAUAUUUGGUCUAGUCAUCUUAUCUAGUCUUUUGAAGUUCUAUGUAGUAGUAUCUAAGUUUUAAAAUCUUUUGGUUAGGUUUCAAUUCAGGUUGGUCUUUAGUAGAGCCUUGUUCCCUAAUUUUCCCCAUGGAAGUGUAAUGGUUAUCUAUUAAUGAAUGUUUUGCUUUCAAAAAAAAAAAAGUUAUCUUUUAGCAAAAGAGCUUAAGAAGAGGGGUCAAUCUGCAAAAAAUGCAGGUAAAAUCUAUUUAAUAUAAAAGAAAAAAAGUCACCAAAUAUUUUCCACUAAAAGGGAAUAGCAUUAGUCAUGAAAACACGUGGAACAGUUUGGAUGAACACGAAGCUAAAACCUUAAUGUUGUGUUUGGUUGGGGAGAAUGGAAUGGAAUGAAAUGAAAUGAGUAAAAAAUACUUGAAACUAAUAGAGAUAGGAAGAAUGUUUUGAAAAAAUUUGAAGGAGUGCAAAAUUGCUAUGAUGAGAUUUGAGAAGAAAUUGAGGAUGAGAGAGAAUGGAGCAUUCCAUCUCAAAUGGAAAGGGUGAUAUCUAGCAUGUGGUGUAAGGAAUGGAAUGGAGGAAGUAAUGAAAUUUCUUAAAAAUCAUCCACAAGAUAGUUCAUUUUUCAUUCCAUUCCUUCCGGAAUCAUUCACCCCAACCAAACACAACAUAAAGGUUUUAUACGAGGGGCAUAAGAAAGAGCCACGCGGUGAACAUGCAAAGGGAGGGAACAAAAUAAAGGAAGUUUGUUGAAGCAGCAAUAAUGAGUUUGAGGUUUUCAGCAACAGAUAUAUUUAGCUUGCUCAAGCUGACAUGUCACAUGAGUACAUGAUAAAUAGUACUCCCUCCGUCCCACAAUACAUGUCUUUUUUGAAAAAAUUACGCAUAUUAAGAAAGCAUUGAUUAGAUAAAAUAUUCUCACCUCUACCCCUAAUAAAUGCAUGAAUGUAGACUCUUAUUCAACCUACAUUAAUUGUUAUACAACUUUCAAGAAGGGUAAUUUUGAAAUAUUUGCAAUAUAUUUGCAUUGGAAACUAAAAGUAGACAUGUAUUGUGAGACAAAUUUUUUUUCCAAAAGAGACAUGUAUUGUGGGACGGAGGGAGUACUCGAUAAGUUUGUUGGAUGAAAUUAAUUUAUUUUUGUCUAAGAGAUUCAUCAUUUAUAUGUUGGUUGCGGUGUCUGAAAAUUAAUUACACCACAUUAAUAAUUCACUGCUUUUUUUUUUUUUCUGGUAAUUUUGUGUUUGACAGUUGAUUCCAUUUAUAAACGAUACGAGGCUUGAGGGUAUGUUUUAAAGUUAUUGCAUUUAGUGGCGAAAUAAGGACAAAAGUUAAGGAGGCUGCAUUCCUAACCGAGUGUAUUUUAAUUCCGAUGGAUGUUAAUAAAUUUUUAUUUGUCAGGUCCAAAUUUCAUAUUAUUGCAGAUUCCCACUUCCUUUACAACAGUUUCUUUGAAACAUGAUUUAUACUAUUGUAGAAUUUCAUAAAUAAUAAAAGAAGCUUCAUAUUCUAAAUAUUUAUUUUGUUAUAAGGAGCAUUUGAUCCGAAAUCGAACUUGUGGGCAAUGCAUCAAAACCGUACAGCUCAUGUUGAUUCCAAUUUCCAAAGGCCUUGACCGAAAUGUAGCCAAGGGCCUCUCAAGUCAGAACUGAUUAGGAGUUGGUGGAGGAGGUAUUGGUCUGUUUGGACUGGUCUAGUGGUUCUGGACUGACCAUCUUGAGCUGAACUGGGCCUGGUAUGCUUAGGUUGUUCAAAGUGGACUCUGACACUUUGUUGAUUCUGGAGCUGUCAUAUUGGUACCUCAUUUCGACAUUUUCAUUUUUUGCUUACAAUUUAGUUCUAGAGCAUUUUGAAGGUUGACUUUUUAAGUAAAAUAAUUUACCAAAUAUAUAGAGGAUAAAAAGUUAUUUUUUAUAAUGAUAUAAUGAUAGUAUUUAAUUAACAAAGUUAAAGGAUGAUAUAAAGGAUAAAAGAGUGGAAUAUGUGAUGUCUUAGUUACGACUAUAUAAAAGGCGAUGGGGGAAAUAUGUGAAACAAUACUUUUGAAAAAGAUUUAGUUUGAUUAUUACCGAUUAAUAGGAUUGAAUUAAAUAAUAAGAGUAUAAUAAGUUUAUAUACAUAUUUGAAAAUGGGUACAGAAAGUUGGGAAGUGUCCCCUUUGCGCUGUGGAUGCUCUAAAGCCCAUAAAAGUGUGUUUGGGCCUCCAAUUACAAUUCAAUACCUAAUGUUUGAACAAUAACAAUAACAAUAAUCAUUUGAUCUUUUCAGGUUUCAUAUUGGGCAAUUUUACAUGCAUUAUUUGUGAUAAAGGGUUUUUAUAUAUAUCAUAUAUUUUGAAUUAAGAAAAAGGUUUUUGCGUCCAUUCUUAAGACAUUAUAUAAUGUCAUGUCCAUGAACAUUCAUGUAGGGCUAUCUAUAACAGUCCUCAGCUUCUAAGAUCAUACUAUUUCAUUAUACAGGCACCAGUCUUAAAUUCCGUGAUUAAUGGGAUUCAUAAAAAAGUUUGCUCAAGCCUGAAAAGACAGAAAAAAUAUGCAGACCUCAAUUUAAUAAGUGGCUAUUGAGUAGUGAGUAAAAGGCAAACAAAACCAGAGAAAAAGAUUUACUAGUAUCUUAAGAGGGUCCUUAAAUGUUUUCUUUGACAAAUACCUACCAGCAUAUUAGUUGUUAACUUGUUAUCAUCUCCACCUGAUCUCCAUCCUUUCUGGCAACUUCUGUUGAGCUUUUAUCCUGUAGAAAAAGUUGUUAGAUGUGUCUCAGCUACAAUUGCAAGUCCAUGUCCAUCUGUAAAUGGUCUGUGCAUUAUUUGGUUCAAAUUCAACAUGAGUCCUAUUCAUGUCACCUGUUGACACUAACAUGUCUUGUGGAUCUGAUUUAUCAGCCAAUGCUGAUUGCCAUUUUCCACUACACCACUGCUCUCAUUUGCUCACACUGUUAGCCCCCAGCAUCAUUAGCCACCCAUUUUAGAAAUCUUUUCUCCUUUUUGCCGAUUUUUUUAUUAAUUUAUCUUGGAACUCUUUUUUCUCAAUAACAAGAGGUCGAGAUUUAGGAAGGACAAAAAACAACUAUUAUAUAUUUUGACAAGGUAGAGAAUAAUUGCAAUAUGUAGCCAUGAUUUUAAAAACCACUGAUUCAGUCGAUUAAUCCCUUAUUAAUUUCCUUCAAAAUACCUUCCCUGAUUCGAUUUUUAAAAUUCGAUUAAUCAUUAUAGAUUCUUCUUGAAUGAUAUGUUAUAUGGUAAAUUAGAUUAAUAUAUUAAAUAUUAUAAUAUACCUGAUUUUUAAUUUAAUUAAUCCUUAAUCAUAUUUACCGAUUCUCGUUUUUUACAAUCAGGUACUCAAUAAAAUUCAACUUGUUAAAACACGUCAUAAUCAAUGUCACACGCACAAAUAUCAGAAUACAGCCAGAUGGACAUAAUAAGAGGGGAGAAAAAACAGAGGGGGGUUGAGAAGGAUAUGAGAAAUUGAACAAUGUCGAGCAUAUACCCACAUAUGUGAUGAAGUGACAAAGUAGUGUAAUUGACUAAUAAAAGCAAGUAGCCAGAUUGGAUACUUUUGUUGUCCGUCCAGGGACCAGCCAGCUCUUGAGGUGGUCCAUUUUUCAUCCACAGCCUCACCAUGCACUCAUUGCCCCUUCACCACCAUCAAACUGGAUCUCUAUGACCAUCCACGCACACACGCAGUAGCACAUGUAUGUGUUUCUCGGAUUUGAUUCUACUUCCUAGCUGUUCAAGGGACUUGCAUUGCGUGCACCGAACGAAUGGUCAUUUUGAGGCUCAGAUUGUUCCGAAAACACGUCCUGUGUGAAAAUUUUUCUUUGCACGGCUAAAUUAUGAGGUUGAGGACUGAUUGAAAUUGUAAAUGAUUUCCGGCAUGAAUCGAUGCCUAUUUCAAUUUAUAAGCACUAAACACUAGAGUUCGACUCUAACUCAAUCCGAGACAUAUACUCAUUUGUAAGGCACAUAAGCCUAAAUUAUACUAAUGAUAUCAAAUCUCUGGUAUGAAUCGAAUUUCUUUUCUUUCUUUUUUCUCCUAUUUUCCCCCUAAUUUUUGCAUGGGAACAUUAUAUAUUGAGUUGAGGUGGCAUACUGGCAUAUAAAAUUAAAGUGCUGUUGGAAAAAAAAGGGUGAACGGAAUAAUGUCAAGUUCAAAAUGACUGUAUUUGACAAAGCAAAGAGAAAAACGUAAAAUGAUGAAAGGCCAGCUUUGCAAUUCAGCCUCAUUAUUUGGUCAAACUCCACUCACAUUGCGUUCCAUAAUUGCCAAACUUAUCUUCAAAAUUUCAUGCUUAAAAAAUUAAAAAGAAUAUCAGACUUAAAUUGUGCUCCUCUACUUUAUUAUAUAUAAUGAUUAAUUUAUUUAUAUAUUUUUCCAGAACUUGUGAUCGCAUUAAUAAAAGUAAAUAAAUAUUUAAAAAAUUCAACCAAUAAAUAAAAAUAUAUAUAGAAAAAUUUAAAAACAACAUUUCUAACUAUAUAAUAAAUUUCUUAAUGUGUGUGGUCAAAUGUCACAUAUUGUUUUUUCUCUCAAAAAUUCGACUCAUAAUUAUGUAUAUCAGUAUAUGUCGUGUCAAACGUUUAAGUUAAUUUUGAAAGUUCAUGCUUCAUCGAUUUUAAAACUACCGUAUCUUUCGUUCUUGUAUAUCGAUUUCUGAUCAGUUAAAUUGAUUAUUUUUAAUUUAAAAAUAUAUUAUAUAAUUGACAAAAAUAAUGAAAAUUUAUUAUUGAGAAAUAUAUUUAAUUUAUUUUAAUACGCAAUUUUAGAUUUUAAAAAUAAUUAAUAAAUAAUUUAAAAAAAUUAGUAAUAAAAUAAUCUAUUUAAAUUCUGAAAAUCAAAAUGAACAUAUAGAGAUGGAUAACAAAAAAAUCUCCAACCGACUGAAAUCGAGCGAGACCGGGAAAAAGGCGAUGCAGCAUCCACCGCUCUCGUGCAAGUCUAUCUAUCUACUCAUACCGUUAUAAUUUAUUGAUUUUGCGUAGGAAGCUAUGCAAUAUUGCGUCGCAGCCCUAGAAUAUGCUGCCUGACCCUGACAAUGUUUUCGACCUCGAGCCCAUCAACAAAUUAUAGGUGUACUCCACACUCCUCUCUUGUGCGCAUAUUUGUUGAUUCUUUUUUCUUAAAUAUAAUAUUAUAAUUUAUUAAAAAAAUUCUGAAUAAAUUUAUUAAAAAUAAAUGAGACAAAGAGAAAAUUAAUUUUUGAAAUAAUGCAUUUAAUCAGUGAUUGACCGCAUAUUCAUUGUAUAUACUACACAAUAUUGCUUGAUGUUGUUAAUAUCUUCACACCAUCGUCAAAGAAGAUGCCUCUCUCUGGCCAAAGUCCAAACAAGCUUAUUUGGUCUUUCACUCCGUGAACUUUACACUUAUAUGUGUAAUGCAAAUUCUAAUGCAACGAAUCAUGUAACUAAAUAUGAUUUCAAAAUAUUAAUAUUUUAAAACUGUAUUUAUGAUAGAUUUUAGUUGAUAAUUUGCAAAUAUGACUACAUCAGUUAUAAAUCGUAUUUUUAAAAAUAUUUUUCAAAAUUGAUAUUUUUGAAAAUAUUUUCUUCUCUAAAAUUCUUUUUGAACUUUUUUGUAACUUGGGUACAUCCGGAAAAAAUCCUAAAAUUUAUAUAUGUAUAAAUAAAGAGAUUGAGAGUGUUCUUAGACAACCGCCCUAGAAUAAAAGACCUCCAAUAAUAGAUUUAAAAUAUUUUUGUAAAUGCGCAGGCUGGAUCCUAUAUACGAAAUUACCAUCAAUAUUUAACAUGAUCGCUAAAUACAACUCGACCUCAGAGUCUUGGACCCGAUUUUCUCAUAAAUAAAAUAAAUCUAUACAUUUAAACGGAAAGAGAAGUGGGAAAUACGUGUACUCGCUAGCCACUAUCCCGCAGCCGGGUGCGCGCUUCCCCUAGGCUACCACCCCUCUACAUUGCUGUAUAAAUAAAUAAAUUAAUAAAUAAAUAAAUAAAAUAUUCACUCGUCUAGUGAACAUAUAUGUAGGCAGAAAAGACGAUAUAAUAACUCAUACGUCAAAUUUUCAACACUGCAAAUAUUUAUUUACGAAAAAAUAAUCACAGAUUCUUUGUCCAUAUACCAAAAAACAAAAUAGUUUUAUAAAAAUUAAAUAAUUAUGACAAAAAAUAAUAAUUAAAUAAUAAAUAUAUAUAUUACAGUUUCAGUUGAAACCCAGCACUGCUUUCAUUUUCACACCAAACCCACCCUUUUUAUUAUUCCCCUUCUUUCCCCGUCCUACUCCAUUCUCCUCUUCUUCUUCCCCAAAAUAUUGAAAACUCACUUUCUACUCAACCCCCUCCUUUUUAUUACACGAACUCUUCAUCUUCAGACAACCUUUUCAAGAACUCGAAACAGAGGACAAGGGGUGUUUAAGGAAACCAUAAUGGGCAAAUGGAGAGUGGUCUUAAUACUCUCCACACUACAACUCCUAACUCUUCUUACACCAACAAAACCAGAUCCGAAAGACGAAUCAUGUCUUACCCACUUAAGCCAAUCACUUGAAGACCCAAACAAGAACCUCCAAAACUGGACCAAAGCCACUUUCUCAAACCCAUGUACUGGCUUCACCUCGUACCUCCAAGGCGCCACUUGUAAUAACGGCCGUAUCUACAAACUCUCUCUCUCGAAUCUCUCUCUCAAAGGCUCCAUCUCUCCUUAUAUAGCUAACUGCACUAAUCUCCAAGCUCUUGACUUAUCGUCAAACGCUCUAUCCGGUUCAAUCCCGACCGAUCUUCAGUUCCUCGUGAACCUAGCGGUUCUUAACCUCUCGGCGAACCAUCUCUCCGGUUCGAUACCUCCGCAGAUUGCCAUGUGCGCGUACCUAAACGUUAUAGAUCUUCAUGACAACGUGUUAACCGGUCCGGUUCCGCAGCAGCUCGGUCUUUUAGUCCGGCUCUCGGUUCUCGAUGUUUCGAAUAACAAGCUCUCCGGUCCAAUUCCGGGUAAUCUCGGGAACCGGACCGGUUUGCCGAGAUUCAACGCGUCGUCGUAUGAGGGCAAUAAAGAUCUGUAUGGGUACCCUUUGCCACCUAUGAAGAAUAAAGGGCUUUCGAUUCUAGCCAUUGUAGGGAUUGGGCUUGGAAGUGGGCUUUUGAGUUUGGUCCUUAGCUUCACAGCUGUGUGUAUUUGGUUGAGAGUCACUGAUCGCAAAACGGCGUCGGCUGAACAAGAAGGCAAAAUCACACAGCUCAUGCCUGAUUAUUAAAUUCAAUUAAUCACUCAGGUCUGUUGGUUAUUAUUUCGAUUUUACAUAUAUAUAAUUAAAUAUUACAAUGUUACAGCACUGAGUAGUGGGCUAGUUUUUUUUAUUUUAAUGUUGUUAGUGAUGAUGUUGAUGGGGGUUCAUGUUUGUUGAUCAGUUGUAUUGUCUUUUUACUGAUCCUGGGUAUUUUCUCGUUGUUUAACUACUUUUUUUUUUAACCUUUUAGUUUGUUGUGUUGUAAUGUCCAUAUUUUUUGGAAACAAUUAACAAUGUGUAUAUAUGAAGAACUUGUGGGUGGUAUAGAUACAUAUCUAAUCCAUUUGUCAGUUCUGAAUUUACAUUUUUACUGCAUUGUACAUUGUAUAAAUUGUGUCGGAGUAGAUUUCUGAUAGACGAUUGUUACAACAUACUUACUUCAUUAGUCAUGCUUUAUUACCAUAAAUAAAUUGUAAGUUGCAAUGAAUUAUUUUAAUCUGUAAGACUAGAGUAGAUGUUUCAUUAGUCAUACUUUAUUACCAUAGAUAAAUUGUAAGUUGCAACGAAUUAUUUUAAUCUAUAAGACUAGAGUAGAUAUCCGACAAAUGAUUGUUACAACAUACUUGCGUCAUUGGUCAUUAUGAGAGAUAAAUGAUAAGUUGCAUCAAAUUGUUUAAUUUGUAAGACUGGAUAGGCCCAUGACUGGUAUCAAAUUUAUGUGUUAUUCCUUUAGGAAGAUAAGAGUAGGGGGGCUUGAUAAAUUAUACCGCAACAAUUAUCCAUUCAAUACGUAGACAUGGUUAUGAGUACUAGAAUCUUGGUAAAUUAUACUGCAACAAUCAUUGAGUGGGUUAAAUUAUACUGCAACAAUCAUCCAAUACGUUAUACUUAGACAUGGUCAUGGGUACUAGAAUCUUGGUAAAUUAUACUGCAACUAUCAUGGAGCGGGGUAAAUUAUACCACAGCAAUCCUUAUUCCUCGACCCUAUACAUUUACACUGGUAUGGGUUUAUAGUAAAAUAGUAAAUGCAUGUUGGGUGGCAGAAUGUACUAAUCUGCGGUAUUUUGUCUGGUGGUAGGCUAAAUUACAUACAACUCACUGCAAGUCUGGGACAGUGGUCUCGGUUAUGAAAGAUCCACAUGCCUCAAUUAUAUAAACAAGUUCUAGUAAAAAGUCAUAAAUUACUGGUAGGCUACAGGAGUGGAGGACUUGAUGUAUAUAGUUUAGUUGUAGCAGUAGCCAUUAGUGUUGUAUGAGGAACUGACCAAUUCUUUCUUCCAAGUUCCAACUACUCUAUCUUAUCCUAAAUGCAACUGUUAAUACAUUUAUCUGUUCAAUGCUUCUCAUUAAAUAAUUUUUCCAUUGGAUGAUAUGAUGCUACUGCCUCACAAUUGUCUGCUCUUUUAGUAAUGUGAUGCUUGCUCAUCUACGAUUCCAGAACAGGGACUGGGGACCGGGCAGGGGUGUCUUCUGCUGCUACUCAAUUGAACCGGGUAAAAUGUAUUUAUAAUAACUACCGUUAUUCGAAGUGCUUACAAUACCUUACACGGUUGAUCAAUGCAUUUGUAUAUGGGUACAGAGAACCGCGAGGAUCACCUGAAAACUUGGUUUGGUUUUCAUAAAUCUACGAUUCUCGCGGUUUUCAUAUUCUCCGGUGAGGGGUACCCUACAUGUUUAGCUUACAUUUGCAAGGAUGCAACUAUACAAUUUUUGAAGAUCACGUUUGCCCCUCUUUCUGUUUUUUGAAGAUCACUCCCACCGAAAGUUUAAAAUUAGUCAAAGUUUGGUUUUGAGUCAAAUCAUCAACGGCACCAUCAAGAAUGGCAUGUACACACAUAAACAUACAUAUGGAGUAUCAUGCAUACCCUACAUGUACAGGUAACAAUUGAUGAAUGCAAAUCAUCACGCAAAGGGAACACUUUGUGCCUCGUAUGAGUGCUUUCGUUUACAAUUUGUGUGUACAGUCCUUUGUGGUAAAUUUUUGGCUUGGGAAAAAUAAAGGAGUGGUUGUAUGUAAUUUAGGACCAGGAGACCAUCAGAAAUGCCAGGACCAUGCUUCCUGGCUCCCUGUUUGCCUUUUACUUUUAUCACCCCACCUUGCUUUUUACUCAAAUUUACUUACCAGAUCUAUAAAUUUCGGAUCAUGUUUGAAAGUCCGAUAAAAUUGUUUUCUAAUAAAUAUUUUUUAUUUAUAAGUCAAUUAUGAGAACUGAUAAUAAUAAGCAUGGUUGAAAUCGGGGAUUAGUUCAUUGACAUGCCGAUUUAGGAUUUUCCGAAACCGGAGAUUUUAAUUCGAUCGAUAAAAUAUCUUUUAAUAAUUAAUGCGGAAGUUUUCAAGAGAUUUUUAGAAUUACUGAUAGUAAGUUAUGAAAAUAUAUGUCAAACAAUAUGAAAGUUAAAAACAAAUCACAAAAUUUAAACUGUUUUACUAGCACAGGAGAGCAUUGUGUAAUCUGCCUUUGAACCAACGUCUCUCUCUAGCCACAUGGUAAGCUGCUGAAAGCUGCAGAUUGUUUGAUAUAAAAACCAAAGAUCAUAUAAUUGAACCCAGAGGAGAAUUAUAAUUUCUUUGCUCAGUAAUGAGUUAGAGUGUAAAGUAAAUUAUUAAACUCAAAUCUCAAUUAUGACAUGCCAAUGCCACAAACCUCGGACUGCAUUUUGCGUGGCCUCAAAUUUAACUCUACCAUUUCUUCAUCCAUCAAGACUAAUGCUUUUUCACAGUAAUGAUUUAUAGGUAUUUUUUAUGGUGAAUAAUAUCUACUUCUACUUAUAUAUAUAGUAGCCCAACAGGUUCGUGUCAAGCCUCCCUCCUGAGCAAAUAAAUUACCUAGCUCCGAACCUGAGCCUAACUCCGAACCUAACAUCCCUGAGCCUAACUCCGAACCUAACAUCUUCUCAUAUAUAUAAAAAAAAAGAUGUUAUUCAUGAGGCUCGAACUUGGGAUCUCUCCAAUACAAAUACAUUACUCAAACCACUUGAGCUACACAAACAAUUAGUUUAUUACUCAAAAGCAUUAAUCACAUACUUUAAAACUUUUGUAUUUAUAUUCGUCUCAAUAUCUUAUUUAUUUGAGAUGAGUUAUUAUUUCAGUUAAGUCUCAUAUAUUGUUUACAUGAUAGAUUAAUAUCUAUAAAUUAAUUAUUUACAUAAAUAAAUUUAAAAUUAAAAAAAAUAUGAAUAAUCGGGUUCGUGCCAUGAUUCGGAUUUCAAAAAAUAGAUAUAAUUCGUAUUCGAAUUCAAAUCUAACUUAAUAGUUUAAACGAGCACCGAUACAAUAUUAUAGAAAUUUUAAGUCAUGAAUGUGAGAAAUAAGUACAAAAACUGAGGUUUAAGCGAGCAUCUUUGAAAGGAAAAAUUGAUGGGCUUUCAACAUGGGCUAUGUCAUAUUAAUUUCUUUUAUUAUAAAAGGCAAUUUACAAAGAGAUUACAAUAUUUUGGAGAACACGAAAUAAGGUGACUGAAAGAAUAUUCUUAUGUAGAAUAUUUUUUUAUUUUAAACUUAUGAAUUCAGAAUUUGAUGUGUAACUAAAUCUUUUUUUAAAAAAAUUAUAGAUAUAAGGAUAGUGACAAUACAUCAAAUUUGGUGUCGGAAAAUAUAUCUAAAUGAUAUAAUUUUGAUGAUAUAUGUAUUUGAAAUACUAUAACUUGUGAUAUGAAGGUGAAUUUAAGGAAAUUUUAUAUUGUUAAUCAAAAGUCAACCACAUAAUAAUAAAACGCGUUUACGAGAACUACUAAAAAGAUUUGAGUUAUAAAUUUUACUUUGUUAAAUAAAAUAACACAGAGAAAUAAGUUAUAUAUAUUAAAGUCUUAAAACUAUAAUUUUUAAUAUGCCAUCAUCCAAUAUAUAACAUACCAGUUAAAUAAAAUGAUUCAAACUACAGUUAAAUUAAUCAUUUACAAAUUAAACUAAUAAAAUAUAAUUAAUUCUGAACCGGAUAAUCUGAUGCGAUACGGUGAAACUAAUAUCUGGUUAAACGGGACUAGAACAAGAAUAGUUUUUUCAUGAUUCAAAAUAUCGAAUAUAUAACUUGAUCUUUAACAAUUGAACAUGAUAUGCCACAUUGAUCACUCCUAAUAAAUACGAGUAUCAAAAUAUUAAAAAUGUGAGUUUGCACAAAGCUAAAAAAGUAACUACACGACUAAUUGAACUAAAUAUUUUAUGGUUUUAUGAACUUCAUGAUGCAUAACUCAUAUCUACUCUCUUUUUGCUAUUUGAAAUUCCAUAAAAUCAUUUGUUUGAGAUCUGUUUUACAAUGAUUACAAGAAAAAUCAUUAAAAGUCUUAAUAGACAAGCUCAAUAAACUAAUUAUAUUACAUUAAAAUUUUAUAACGAGAUAAUGUUAUAACAUACUGUAUCAAAGUAAUAUUCAUCAAAUAUUUUUAAAUUAACAAUAAAAAUAUAAUACAUUGAAGUACUAUAUAAUUGAUAUGAAAAAUAAAGGGAUAAGACACAUCAAAGGUGUCAGAAAUUUUUGGGGUGCAAUUAUAUGGUUAGUAGUUCAAUUGAUACUUUUAUAAUAAAAUAAGGUACGUGUCUUUUUACGUACAACACAUGUUUCAAUUUUUUUUUAUACAAAAUGUGUGCAACAUAUGCUAAAAAGAAUGUGUUGAUGAUCUCCUCCAUCAUGUAUCACUUUAAUAAUUAUGCAAACGUACGCUCAAAAAAGAAGAAAUAAAUGUAGGGCAAUGCGGACCACACAUCUUCAUUUAAUCAUGAUUUAGGAUAUCGUAAUUCACAUAUCAAAAACAGGUUUUUAUCAAAAUCAUGGUAUAUUAGUUGAAAUAAUUUAAUAAUUUCAACAAUAAAUUACAGAAUCUUUUAAUGAGGUAUAAUAUAUUUAAAAUUUAAAAUUUCAGUAUUAAUUUCGAAUAUAAUUUUGAACAUUGAUAAUAUGAUGACGGUCUCUAUAUCCUAACGAAUUUGAAUAUAGAAAUAUCAGUUCAAAUGUAGUUUUUGAUCUAUAAUUUUUUUUAAAAAUAUACUCCCUUCGUCCUAUUUUAGGUGACCUUAGUUGACUUUCACGGAGAUUAAGAAAAAAGUAGUAAAAAAGAGGAAAUUUAGUUGGAAAGAGGGUAAAGUGGAGGAAUAUAUCACAAUUUAAUAAUAGAUUUGAGAUAGUGAUGGUAAGUAGUGAGUGUAAUAGUGUUUAUUUAAUAUAAAAGAGUAUAAAAUAGAGUAGUAGUGUGUGUAAUAGUGAUAAGUAGUGUUUAAAAAUAGUAAGUAUAGUAAGUUCAUUAUUUUAGAGACGUCUCAAAAAAGAAUAAGGGUCAUAUAAAAUGGAAUGGAGGGAAUAGUACUUAUUAUUACUAUUAAUGCUGUUAGCUUGCAUAUAUUACAUUUUUCAUGUUUACAUAUUUUGUCAAAAAGUAAAACGUAAUAGUUACGCUCGACACAAUAUGAUGACACACAGAUAUUAUUUAAAACAUAAUACAAGCUCAAGGUCCGUACAAGAACAAUAUAAUGACAUAUGAAUAUUAUUUAAAAUACAGCAAAAACUAGAGCCCCGUGCCUCGCACGGGCUUUUAUGCUAGUUAAUUAAUUGAAAUGUCACUGUAAUACCAAGCAUAUCAUGUUUACCCACAAAUUUUAUUUGAAUUUCCCUUAAUUCGAUUUGAUGAUACCUGAUAUAUUCAUAGAGAAUGAUUUUAUCGGCCCACAGAUUAAACACCAUACGGCAUACAAAUGCAACAUCAGCCAAACAGAUGGUUUACAACAGAUGUCUGCACUGUGUGAUUCCCUGUACCAAAAAGCUUGAGUGUUUAGAUCAGAUGAAGCUCUUGUCAGGCAUAAUCCCUGAUCCAAACCCUGGCUGGUAUAUCAUUCCACACUUCUUCAUUAGUACCAUAGUAUAUAGCUGCUUCUUCCAAUUGACCAGCAUUUCGCAUCUAUUCUGACAAAAGCGCAUACUCUGUGGCAAGUCUCUUUGCAACAUCAAGUCUACCAUAGACUCAGGACGGAGCUAGGAUUUUAGCCUAGCGGGGGCAAAAAAAAAUUUUUGUCGACAAAACAAUUUUGUUGCCACAAGUUGGAUUCGAACUUGUGUCUUCACGGGAAGUGUCCAGCUCCACAAUCAUGGUUACAAUUAUUAAAAUUGUAGGAGAUAUAUUCAUACAUUAUGAAGGUCAGGGAGGGCAAAUACCCCCGCUGCCAUAAGUUCUGUAUCAUUUCUAACCAAAAGUUUCCGUGAACUGAAUUUUUCUACCAGAUAUUGGAUCAUUCCAUACGCUUACAUGUAACGAGUCUCUUUGCAACAUCAAGAUGACCAGCUCUACUAAGCAUGUCAGGCUUACGACAAUGCAAGAAAAAAUUAUAUGUUCGGCGCUUUGAACAACACUUAUCUGACAGGAUCACACGAUUGAAAAUGUGAUUGCAUUAUCAACUAGAAAUGCAUGGCUAUAAUAAGCAGAAAGAACAGCAGUAAACAUUCCCUUCACUAAUUUGAUCCCGGCUGAAUCCUGCCUCACUCGCGAACAGCGAGCAGCUUCUGUCCCUUUUCCUGCCGUGCAUAGUCUCAGAUCAUCGACUUUUUCCAUUGCGUCGAACACUUUCACAUACUGAUCCAGAUUUUCCACCCAAUGUAACAAGAUUUUUGCUAAAUAAUCUCAUUUUCCAAGGGUGGAGCAACUGGACUCAUGUAUAAUUCUGACAAUUUCGCAUAUACCUCCAAGCCCUGCACUGUCAAACGGUAAUCUAUUCAAUUGAACUCUGACAUCAAAAAGUUUUUGGAUAUCAGAUUCAGGCAAUACAAGCUAGUGAAUACUCUAUAGGCCUGCUUCAAGUAUAACAAACAGUCAAGUACAGUGUUUUUUACAAGUGUUUGAUAAAAAGUCACAAAGACAAUUUACAACAAGUAAAAAAAUCAAAGUACUAUAAAAUCAAGAAAAUCCAAAGUUCCCAUUUUUACAAUCUUUACCAAGAGUCGACUCACUCUACCCUUCUCAAUUGAGCCGCUUCUUCAUAGCUCAAGCUUCUUUUGAACAUCAGGUACCUUAUAUACACUUCAACACACACACACACACACAACCUAAAAGAGACAUAAUGAAUUUGCUCCGAAAGGAAAUUAAAGGUCUUGGCAAGAAAUACAAUCUAUUGAUUGCAUUCUCUAAUACAAACACAGCAUAUAGAUUGACUUGUAUUGAUUCAUUGUCGUCUAGCUUAUUUCAUGAAUCUUGUUCAAAAUUGCAUACUAAUUCUCAAAUGGGUCAGCCCCAAAACCCUCUUGAGUCCAACCCCUCUCGAACUUUUGAACCCAUAUGUCUCGAAAAGAAAUCAGGAAGCUUUGAAAAUGGUGGAAGCUAUGAUGAAUUUGCUGUUGAUGUUGAAAAGAUUUACAGAAUUUUGAGGAAGUUUCAUUCUAGGGCUCCAAAAUUGGAACUUGCAUUGAAGGAAUCUGGUGUUGUUGUCCGCUCGGGUUUAACAGAACGGGUGUUGAAUCGAUGUGGGGAUGCGGGGAACUUGGGGUAUAGCUUUUUUGUUUGGGCAUCUAAGCAGCCUGGUUAUAGGCAUAGUUAUGAGGUUUAUAAGUCAAUGAUCAAGAUUCUUGGGAAAAUGCGGCAAUUUGGAGCUGUUUGGGCUUUAAUUGAGGAAAUGAGGAGGGAAAAUCCUCAGCUUAUUACGCCAGAGGUGUUUAUUGUGUUGAUGAGGCGAUUUGCGUCAGCAAGGAUGGUUAAGAAGGCGGUUGAAGUGUUGGAUGAGAUGCCUAAGUAUGGGUGUGAACCGGAUGAGUAUGUUUUUGGUUGUCUGUUGGAUGCUUUGUCGAAGAAUGGUAGUGUAAAAGAAGCUGCUUCGUUGUUUGAGGAUAUGAGAGUACGUUUUACACCGACGAUAAAGCAUUUUACUUCAUUGUUGUAUGGUUGGUGUAAAGAAGGGAAGCUUACAGAAGCUAAGUUUGUUUUGGUGCAGAUGAAGAAAUCAGGUUUUGAGCCUGAUAUAGUUGUUUACAAUAAUUUACUCCAUGGGUAUGCCGUAGCAGGAAAAAUGGCAGAUGCAUUUGAUCUUUUGCAAGAAAUGAGGCGGAAGGGUUGUAAUCCAAAUGCAACAUCUUUCACGAUUUUGAUUCAGGCACUUUGUGCUCAGGAGAAAAUGGAGGAGGCAAUGCGAGUUUUUAUGGAUAUGCAGAAAAGUGAAUGUGAUGCCGACGUUGUGACCUACACUACUCUGAUAAGUGGGUUUUGCAAGUGGGGUAAGAUUGAAAAAGGUUAUGAGCUUUUGGACAGUAUGAUACAGUUAGGAUAUACCCCGAAUCAGACUACUUAUUUAAAUAUACUUCUGGCUCAUGAGAAAAAGGAAGAACUGGAGGAGUGUAUAGAACUUGUGAAAGAGAUGCAAAAGAUUGGCUGCAAUCCUGAUCUCAAUAUCUAUAAUACAGUAAUCCGCUUAUCGCUCAAGUUGGGGGAGGUUAAAGAAGGGGUACGAGUCUGGCAUGAAAUGGAAGCAAAUGGACUCAGUCCAGGGCUUGACUCCUAUGUAAUAAUGAUUCAUGGAUUACUUGAGCAAGAGUGCUUGGUUGAAGCUUGUGAAUACUUUAAAGAAAUGGUUGAGAAAGGCCUUCUAUCUGCUCCACAGUAUGGGGUCUUAAAAGAUCUUUUAAAUUCUUUAUUAAGAGCGGAUAAGCUUGAAUUGGGUAAAGAUGUUUGGAAUUGCAUCAUGAUGAAAGGAUGUGAGCUAAAUGUGUUUGCCUGGACUAUAUGGAUUCAAGCACUCUUUGCAAAAGGGCACGUAAAGGAGGCUUGUUCGUACUGUUUAGAGAUGAUGGAUGCUGGUCUCUUGCCUCAGCCAGAUACUUUUGCCAAGCUGAUGAAAGGUUUGAAAAAAUUGUAUAACAGGCAAAUUGCAGCUGAAAUUACAGAGAAGGUGAGAAAGAUGGCUGAAGAAAGGCAGACGACGUUCAAGAUGUAUAAGCGUCGUGGUGAAAGGGACUUGAUAGAGAAAGCAAAAGAGAAAAAAGAGGGAAGGAAGAGAAGGUCUCGUAGACACCAAUGGGGCACCAACCGAAGCAGAGGUAGUAUCUCAUAGAGAUCGUAGUGGGAAGUCAGUGAACUAUUAAGUUAAUGUCUCAAAUUGUGAUUCCUUUCCAGGGGGACUAUUUUGAAUUAUAUACCUUUCAGGCUUUACUCAAAUUUCUGGGGGACUUUGAAUGAAUAUUUACUUCUUGUCUGCAGCACCAUUAUAGUGUCUUCUAACACUUAUUCAUGAGGAUUGCUAUGAAAGAAAUGAUAUUUCAGCCUGGAGUGGAAUGUCACUACUAAUUAAUUUGUUAGAUUAUAGGGAGAGCUCCGAAUCUAGAUAGUAUUAUGUUUUACAGCUGGAUUAAGAAUUUCAUAUCAGAUCAUUGUAUAACUUGUCAAGUCUAUCCAUUUAUCAAUCAGACCAUUUGCAGAACAUGCAUGGGCUCACUUGUAUUCUUUUCAACGUUAUGACCGAAGACUUAAAUACGAAGGUGUGCUCUUACUUUUUUUUCUUUUUUCUUAUUUACACUAAUCUUUAAAAGUUCUCCCUCUACUAAAUUAUCAAAUCCUAAUUGUUAAAUUCAUGUUCAUUUCAAAGAUGAACUUUUUUAUACGCAAUUUUAACUUCAGUCGUGAUUUUUUUUUUUUCCAGAUGAUAUAGAGCAUCACCACUUUUAGAGCUAAGAUGGGAUGUAGACUAAAUUGGAGAUAAUUCUUAAUCGUCUGUGAAGGUGAUCUUCUGCAUUCUUAGUUAGAGUAAUAAAAGUAUAGUGAAGGUUAGUAAUGCAGUUUAAUGAUACUUUGCAUAUCUUAAUUGUUUCAUGAGUAAUUAUAUGUAAAUUCACUCUACACCUGUCUUUCUGUUUGUAUCUUUAUAAUAGCCUUGUGAUGAACAGCAAUUAAUCUUGUAAAAGUAAUAGUUGAUUUAAAACAGUUUAAUAUAUUAUAGAUAUUUGAAGAAGUUGAUAGAAAUUGUGUGAAUCCUUGAAUCAAUUUCUCAUAACAGAGAAACUAAGUGCAACAAACUAACAAAGAUAUAAUGGGUAAAUAUCUACUUUUAUAUUCUUUUAGCUCAGGAGUAUACUGUUCGUAGUUUUAAUAGACAAAGUCUAUAUACUUUCCCAAUAGUCCGCACCUACUUGAUGACUGCAGCUAAUGUCAAUAGAAGAUUGACUUAAUUCUGCUAGAAUCCACUAUAGCCUUCAAGAACCCCAUGUACCUUUCUGGCGGAAUUGCUGAUGCCAGAAUAUUCACCAUUGUGGUCCAUCUCAUCAAAGAUUUCGUCCUACACGGAAGUACAAUAAAAAAUAAUGAAUUUUUUGGGUCAAACAUCAAAUUACUAUCUUUUUUAAUUAAAGAGCACCAGUAUUCCCAUACUUUUAGCAGCUGCUCAAUGACAUCCUCCAUUGUUAUGAUGCCAAUAACUUCUUCUUCUUUAGUGAAGCUGGGAAGUGGAGCCUCAUCAAUGUGCAAGAUAUUAGAGUCAAUAGUUUCUGACCAUCUCUUACUUUUUGAGGUUUCUCUUCGUGAAAUACUUGCACUUCUGGGAAUAGCCUUUAAAUUCCUGAGUGAUCUUCUGCUCCUCCUUAACCCUAAAUUUUGGUGAUGACCUUCACCAUAAAUGUUCAGUCGUACUUCUCUCGCUGAAAUGAGUUUCAUUUAAGGUAAUCAGCUCAAUCAUUAAUGACAAAAUUAUGAAAGAAAGGAACCAAGAUGAUUCAUAUGUCAAUUAUGUGUUGUACAGAAAAAGCUUUAGAGAUCAAUCUACCAACUGACACAUGCUUACAGUUGGUUGAAUGUUCUGCCAUUUCGCUUCUAUGUCUUAGAACAAGUGCUAUAUGGCUGAGGCCUUCCUGAAACUCAUUCAGUAUGUCAUAUAAAGGCAUCUUCUCUGAGAUUCUAGUAUGACAGAAAUAAAAUUUAGUCCAGAUAGAUUAUACAUAUCUUUGCAAAUGUUUAAUAAAAUAAUAAAGUAAAAAUUAUCAAACUAUCCCAUAAUUAACAAAAGACGACCCAUAAUUUGAAAUCAGAAACUCAGUAUAAUUAUUGUUAUAUUUUAUAUAAUCUAUAAUCAAACACGAGUGCUUGGUGAUAAAAACUUUGGCUGCUGCCUGCUUGGGCCAACAUAAAUCUAACGCUAUAUCUUUAGAUCAGUAUGUGUUGCUUUUAAAAACUCUUCUGGGAAUUUUUUUUACUUAUUUUAUCAUAAAAUUUCUGCUAGGCAAGUUUAAGUAUAUAGACCUAUAUGUAAUAGGAUGUCCAGAAAAAUUUCCAGAGGUGGAACAUCAUAUAUUGAUGUUUAGGAAGCAGAGCUUGCUCAGAAACUUGUGUGCUUUUAAGAAUAUAGUUUAUAAUGUAAGAGCUGUAUAGUCAUAUAGGUAAAAUAAUAUAAAAUCAUGAAAUGAUUACCAAGCCGAGCAUAUCAACAACAUUGUAGGUUCAAUACUUAAUUCUGGUCUGUCCCUUCUGACUUGCAAAGUUGUGUAAACCCUUAAAGUGUAACGCGAUAUUUGGUAGUUUUAAACUGAAUAUGAUAUACUUCUCAAGAAAUACCUUGGAAUACGACGAAUAGUGAUAUUCUUUAUUGGUGUCUCGUUUGCAGGAUUUAUGGUCAAUAAACUUUUCACCUGCAAUUUGCAUGUAAAAUUUCAAUUAGAAUUGCUAUGAGCUACCAACUUCUAAGCUGAACCAACUUAUUAAAGCACACAGAUAUGCAGGUGAAUAAAGUGUAUCAUCUUGGAAGAACUGCUAAUCUCUCUGUCGUAGAAGAUGUAUUGAUGGAUUUUGUAAGUUUUAAUGCCCAUUAUAAAUUAAUAGGAGGAGAUUUAUUUAUAAGGACAUGAUAACAGUCUGUCUAUAUACAUUAUGUCUUGGCUGAAUCAGAUAUUCAGAUAUAUUACUAACAUUUAUAAGAAGUAAAGAAAAAUUUGCUGAAGUAAAUUGACCACCAGUUACCAGUAUGAGUCCAAUAAUGUUUCUUGGCUGCUCGUGGUAUAUGGGAAUUCUACUAUGCCCAUUCUCCAAUAUUAAAUGUAACAGUGCCCUGUACGUAUUAGACAAUGUAAUGAAAUCAAAUGAAGCAAAAAUGUAAGCACGUUUAAAAUUGAUCAACGUUUUGCCCCAGUAAUGAUUUAUCAUACGAGUCAAGUUUAGCAUUAAUAUCGACAGCAAAUACUUCUGACACUGGAGUCAUGGCAUCCCUUGCUGUUUUCUCCGCCAGCUCUAGUGCUCCUGAGAUGAUAGACGUCUCUUUACCCGACAGUUCUCCUCCUUUCCCUGCCUGCUUAGCAAGAGAAUGAAUAUGCUUCAGCAGGAAAAAUAGAUCUAGGACUUAAAGAACAUACAUAACAAACGUGAUAGCAUAUGGAGAACAUCAAUAAGGGCACCACACAAUUACAUAUUAGGAGCACUAGGUAUCAGAAAUGAAUAAACGAGUCCUUCAAUAGGUUUAGCUGGAUUUUGUCUGAUACAUACCUCAUUUCCGUGCAAAGAUACUAAAGUUUUUAGUUCAGCUCGACGAAAGAGAGCUGAACGUCCUUUCCCCAGCAUAAAGUCCAAUAGCUGGGAAUAACACACAAGUAUAGUCAAGGGUGAUUACUCGGAAGAAUGACGAUAUAGUUUACCUUAACGGAAUGAUUCAGAAAUGUCAAAAUAGCUGCUGGUAGUAAGAGAUCUUAAUUGUUACAGAACUUAGUACCUUGCUUAUUGGAUAUGCCACAGGAAAUAAACUCCAAAGAAGAACGUGUACCAAAGGAGCCAGUGCUGCACCAACUUUCAAACUGUACCGGCAACAGAUAGAGUGUGGUAUAAUCUGUAUGUAGAUGGAUGAACUGUCAGUUUUAAUCUUGCAAAGGUUAGAAAAUUUGGCUUCAGUUUUGCAGAGUAUUUUUUUUGUCCGAGGUUUACUUUUUAAGAAUAUAAAGGAAAAAGAGCAAGAUCGAGAAUUCUCAGCCAAAUUAGCUUAAAGCUCAAGUAUUUAGUGUUCAGAAAUACAUGAAUACAUUAUCCAGUUAGGGAACUGACCUCACCAAACAGAAGUAUCAAUGUGACUGAUAUAAGAAUAGCACCAUACUCAGGUAGGAGAUUCUGAAGUAGGAGAGGAAGUGCCUGCAAUAAGCAAUUUAUUGUUGUCAAAUGCUUGAUUAUAUAGUUAUAUGUUAUGAAAUGGGGAGACAGCCUAUGUGGUUUCUACCUCCAUUGCAGCAGUAUACGCGAUGAGAAGUGUACAAAGUAGUAGAUGUGGUCUCUUCACAACAGGCAAAAUCUUUGCUAGAGAUGCCAAAAGAUUAGCUUUUUGCAAAAAUUUCCUUAACCAAGUAAUAGCAUUAAUGCAGAUACAUAAAACUCUAUCCAUAUGUACUGGAUGUUGAUGUAACCUCAAAUUUUGAGUUGUUUAAAAGGUUAGUUUAACCUUUGUCGGAAUAUGCAUACAUCUGACUUCAUAUCGAGGAAAAGUCAUUUAGUUAAACCAGAAGUUGUAGCUGGUUGUAGUAUGUUCUUUUUCGAUAGAACUUGUAUUAUGUUCUUUAUAGUUGGCUUUCGAAGAUAUUUCUGAUAAUUCUAAAAAAAAAUCUACUGUAGCUCAUGUUGUUCUUGUUCCCGGCACACAAUUGUGGCAGGAAGUUGAAUGGACCCAUCUAAAUCCCUCGUAAAUACAGCAUGUUUCAUUCUUUUCAGGUCUCUGAUCAUAGAGAAAUUAUAAGGUGAUAUUAUGGAAGAACUACAGACGUGCGUUCACAGAUCAAGAACUAGUAUAUAUUAGCAUAUUUGUGCAGCAUUUAGAAGCAGAAUCAAGGAAUGAACAUGCAAAGAUAUAUACGGGUGUGUGUUUGAUCGUGUUCAAUGAUACGUACAUGCACGAAAGCGAUCCCUGCGUUUUCCAGACUUUCUAAUAACUUCAAGAUCUACCUGGCUCAUAGACAUGAGUCCCAAUGUGAGUCCAGAAGUCAUACCUGCAAACACUACCAACAUGGUGAUCAAUAUGAUGUAUAAAAAGAAGUGUGGUCUGCAGCAAUGGUAGUACUGGUGAAUCUCUUUCUCAGUUGAAGCUAUUUCAACAUCCAUUAUUUUCAUUUCUGAUUAAUUUGUUAUCAAUGUAUCACCAUGAGAAAUAUGUUUCAAGUACUUCUGCUGAAGAAUCACACCCACACACACACAUAUAAGCAUGUAUUUUCGUACACUUGAUAAUGAGAGUUGCAUAGUUGGCCUAUCCGGCAGAUAGUGAAUAUGAUUUGAUUCCAUUUCUGUACUGCCAUGAAAUUAUCGAUUUGUUUUAGAAUCAUCCUCUCUUCUAACAUACUGUAUGUUUUUUUAUAAUGCACAAGUGGGAGCAGGAGUGUGGAAGUAAUGGAGACAUGAGACUUUGGUCCCUCCAAUGUUGUUGUACUCUGCAAGGAACUUGCACAAACACUGCAGUAACCGAUUCAAUGGACACAUGGAAUCGAGAAGCUGGCAGCUGUGGACAAUCACACAGAUAUGUAUAUGUGGACUUAUAAAUUGUCAGUCAAGAUGAGCUAGAGUUAAAUAUUUACAAGCAAGUUGUAUCUUUUCAUGGAUUUGCAUGAUUGUUUUAUCGAAAAAUUUACAUGUUUUUGAUGGAGAGCUCCAGGUUUAUGUCUGGUCUAUUUGGCAGAGUAGACCAGACUGAUAUUCUAAUAGGAUGCAUGGUGUAAAUUAAGGAAUGAGUUUGUAUGGAUGUGUUUAUGCUCGAAUAUGCUGCCAUGUCAAACUAGAAAGCUCUUUCGUUUAGAGCCUCAUUACUUGUCUGAUUAAAUUUAUGACCUGUAUUUCAACUUAGUUUUCUCGUUUGUUAUGUUUUUCUUUCCUGCAGUUUUGUGAUUCUUAGUCUAUGCAGGUAAAAGGAGGAAAUACAAACUGCUGUCUUGUUAUCCUCCUUUUCUUUCCUGCUAUCUACGUACUUAUAAGUUUUUAUCCAUUUUUUACAAUAAAGUAUAUAUACAUUCACCCACUUAUCUUAUUUUUGAAAAGAUUUAAGCCAUCUUCUUGAUUCUAAUUAAAGUUAAGAUAAAAAUAAAUUUGAUAAAUUAUUUAUUGAGUAUUGAAGUUGAUUUUUACUAACAAAGAUUAUGAAAGAAACUAUAAAGAAUAUAUCCUACCAACUUCUGAUUUUAAAUCAGUUUCUAGUUUAUUUUAAAUUUGAAUCGAUUUCUGGUUUAUUAUAUAAAUGAAACCUCUAUCUUUUGUAUCGCUAAAAAUAGGUGCAAACCUCAGUCCCCAGCUGUGCACUAUAAUUUACACUAACUUUACUUGACUUCUUUCUACGAUUUUCUUUUUACAAAAACAUACUCCCUCCGUCCCUUUUUAUCUGUCCAUUUUGGAAAAAAAAACACAUACCAAGGAAUAAUUGAUUGUAUGAACUUUUUCAUUAAAUACCUCUAAUUAAUAUCUUGAAAAUGGUGGAAUACCCCUACUUUAUGUCUUGAAAACAUGAAUUCAACCAAGUUUUAAAUAAGUCAAGCCUUGAAAAUUGAAAUUAUGGAGAUAUAUUUGAAAAACUAUCAUUAAAUUAGUUUUGAAAGUAUAAAUGGACAGAUAAAUAGAGACAAAUUCUUACUUCCAAAGUGGACAGAUAAAUAGGGACGGAGGGAGUAUUUAAAACGUUCAAAUUCAACUCUCAAAUAUUAAAACAAAAAUAAGAAAAACCCAAAAAAAGGGGUCCGCCGACAGAAAUAGCAGAACUAUACCAGUGUGGAUCUAAACAUAAUUAUGGGAUGGCUAGGAUCAGCUCGUAGUCUUGAAUAAAUAAUGGGGUACAAACCUCGUUGUGCGGAAUAAUGCUCCCCUCACAUAAAUUAUACAUACACACAAUAUUACAAAACUGACCCACUACACAGCCCAACCCAGACCACAUCCACCGGCUCUGGAUCCAGACAUUAGAUCGGCGGCCAAUGUUGUCAUCCUACGUUUCUUGAUCUUAGGUACCGAACCAAACCCAUGUCUCUAUUUCAUUACUCUCAUUGUCCUAAUAUUUUAUGCUUUUAUCUUUGAUAUUGAUUACAAAUAUCAACUUUCCCUUAUUAGAUCUAUUUUAUGUACUUGCUUAUUCAUGCUUAAUUUUCAUUCUGCAUCUGUAUUUUUAGUGACCCUUAUCGUUAUUUUGUUUGAUUUUAAGUUUUGUUCAUCUUUUUCUUGAUUAUUGUGAGUAAGGUUUGGAACUUUAUUUAAUUUGCUGAGGUAUGAUGUUGAUGAGUUUGGUUCCUAGUUCUUUUGAGUUUAUUGUGUUGAUUCACUUUUGAGUUUAUUGUGUUGAUUCACAUUACUGUACCUUUCAAAUCUAGGGGCCUUUUUGAUAAUAGGACUUCAAAUUAACUUGGUUAAUGGGAAUGCGAAUGAGAGUUCGAUACAAAAAUGUAUUAAGUCUCAUUCUCAUUGCCAUUAACCGGAUCCAAAUGCCCUCUCCCUUAUUCGAUUGUUCUGCUUUGAGUCUGCUUAUACUUUUAUCCACUUAGCGUUCAAAUCUUGAACUAUAUUCAUACCAUCCAUACCCAGAAAGGAACAUAUCGGCAAUAUGUAAGUUAUAUGGGUAUCUUUGUUAAAGAUUUCCCGUUUUAGCAUGAAAUGAAGUUGAUAUAUUCCUGCACUUCUUUUACAUUCAACUUUUUCUUUAAAACGUUAUUAUAAUUUUGUCCUAGCUAUUAGAAUACAUUCCUUGACAUUGUAUUAUAAAUUGAUUAACCAGUUUCCUAGCAUCUUUUCGACUACUAUAUGUGCCUCAGCUUCUUAUUGUGUUCUUUUUUAAUUGUUUGCAACAGACUGAAUUCUUUUACACAUAGUAUAUUGAUUGAGUAGUCAUGGCAAGAAGUCAAGCAAUUAACGCAAGAAGGUUUACAAGGGGGCUUUCUCAUUCCAAAUCACGUUAUCCUAUACCCACUAUUCUUGUGUUUGUGGUACGGUUUGAAUUCUGUAUAUUACUUGUGACUGCCAAUCCUUUUUUAUUUUUAUUUUCGUACUCUUUUUAGCAUUUAAACAAUAUCACCAGAUAUCAUAUUUAGAUGCUGAUUGUUGUCCAUUAUAAAUCAGGCUGCAGUUGUUCUCAUUGGAUAUGUUUUUUGGGGAUCAGGUAUGUAUAUGAAUUGGCAUAAUAUCGACACGAUUACCUAACAAGUCUAUAAUUGAGGUCUUAAAUUUUUUAGGUCAGCCCUAAUUAGUCAUUAAACAUCCUAGGUGGUUUAUAAUUCUAAUUCAUUUCUGAAACAUAUCUAUGCCUUACAUAUAUAAAUGAUAGUUACUCCUUUUCUAGUGCAAGUAUGAGGUUAAGCUUUGUAGUUACGAAUUCUUACACCUUCUAUAAGUGUACUUACUGUGUUAUAUAUGUGCUUCAGGUGUUUCUGGGGGUAUUGGAGGAGGUUUCAGUAAAGUAGAAGGUAAAGCUAACUAAUGUUUUCUUAAUGUAUAGUCUUUUAUUUUCAUGGAUACAUACUAUAAGUUAAAUUCAUUUUUUCUUAUGAUUUAAUUCAAGUUUUUUAAUUUCUGAAAAACCCCCUAAUAGUUCAUCGAUAUCUUAGGCGCUGUUGAGAACAGUAAUUUCUGUAUUAUUUUUUGCUAUCUGAAGUUUUACUUAUACCAUAGUUACAUAGGACUGGGUUCGAUUCGAAACGGGGAACGAAAUCGGGUACGUGGAACAUUAGUUUUAGUGAAUCUGGUACGAUGGAACGUAUAGGUACGAUGGAACGUAUGGGUACGAUUGGUCCUUUUAAAAAGAAUUCUAUAAUCAUAUAUAUAAAUUCCAUUAUAAUAUACAAUUUUAGUUGAUAAUUUAUACAUUUAUAAUUUUUUAUAAAGAAAAAGAUAUUGAAUAACAAAUAAAAGUACACAUUUAUUGAUAAAAUAAAUUACUUAUCAUAUGACAUAGACAUGGAUCUAUUGUUCAAAACAAGAAUGAAGUGUGUUCUUGCGGGUCGUCACUUCCGGCGAUCUGGGUCGCGACCCUGAACGUUUCCGUUCGCGUUUCCGACCGUAUCGGGUACGAACGAUCUAGAUCGCGGUUCGUGGCAGCGUACCUGUUUCCUUGUAUCUAUGACUUAUACAUAGCCUUAAGAGGCUAAUAAAAGUUGUUCCUUAGUUAGCAUUUUUGCGUAAGCCCAGUUGCAGUGCACCGCGACAAAACUGGAAAUAUUACAUUUCUGACUUUUAAUAAUUUGGAUAAGACCUAGGGCUUGAGGUUCAUCAAUCCCAGUUAAAGUUGAUCUAUUUGUUCGCCGUGUUGAUCAUAUG